AGCUGUGGAUGUUCAAAAGAGCUUCCUACCUGGAGAAGAGCCACAGUGCAACAUGAGAUGCUGGAAAGAGAAAAGAGUGGCAGCCUGAUGCUCUCUGUAAGACAGAGAAGACAUUAAGGAGUAAAUGCAACGGGGAUGGCGAAGCUGGUUUAAUCAUACCCAAAGGAAAACAAUGCCUUAAUACUUCCACACAGGAGAGUUCCUUCUGGGGCAUUAAAGGAUAGAUCCCUAGGAUCCUUCUUCCAUUUCGUAUGAAAUUAAUGGUAAUUACCAAGAGUGAUUAACAGGUUCAGUCCCUAUUAGUCUUACUUUUUAAAAUUCUGAAACAAAUAUUUUUCUUCCACUGUAACUGAUCAUUUUAAUUUCCCUUCUUUGUCUGUAAUAAGAAUUGAUGUUAAAGGAUGCCCGAGGCAGUGCAAUGAGAAAAUGAAAUUAGUUUUU